rnacentral:snRNA from 1 species
GGCUGCACCCAGAUGUGAGAGCGACACGUGUCACCCACUGAUGGUCAACACUACUCGGCUGAUCGGGCUGGUGAGAUGGGUGUCCUCUUCCUCACUCACCACACCAUGCCUGUCCUUUCCGAAGCCUUGUGCUUGGUAGACAUUGGCCCUCCAGCGAGGAGGACCACCUCCUCUGGCCAGAGGACGUGCAGAGCUGCGCUCCCCUGCUGGAACCUCCAAAAAGCUCUCAGGCUCUCUCAGUCAAACCAUUCCUGUCCAGAAAUGUCUUUAUAAGUGUAUUUGCCAUUGUGCCUAAAUAAAUUGUUUCCUUUU